CUUGAGCAACUGCUACGACAGCCAGGCGUUCUGGCCCGAGUCGUCGUCCACUGCCACCACCUUGGUCACCUGGUAGCCCGGCUCGGCCGCCCGGGGCACCAGCUCGGUGCAAGGCGCGGAGCCGUUCUGCAGCGGGUACAGCACGAAGGGCGAGUUGUCGUUGGCGUCCAGCACCAGCACGCGCACCAGGGCCUCGCUGCUCAGCGCCGGGGAGCCGCGGUCUGUGGCGCCCACGCGGAACUCGAACGCCUGCAGGGCCUCGUAGUCCAGCGACCUGAGGGCAAACAGGUGGCCGUUGUCUGCGUUGAUGGAGACGAGGGAGGCGAGGGGCAGGUGCGGGUCCUGGGACGGCAGCAGCGAGUAGGUGACCUGGGCGUUGGUGCCUGAGUCUCUGUCUGUGGCGCUGACACUGCCGAUGUGCAGGGCGGGGCUGUUGUUCUCGCGGACGAACAGAGUGUAGGAGGUUUGGGUGAAGGCGGGGGCGUUGUCAUUGACGUCGGAGACCAGCACGGUUAUGUUGUGCUCGGUUUUCAGCCUGGGUGUCCCCAAGUCGGUGACAGUGAUGGUGAUGUU
rnacentral:antisense_RNA from 1 species